UCUCCCUCCACUGAGAGCCUGAUCCCUCACCGUACACAGCAGAGAGACACUGACUCAUGGGUGUGUACCACAAGCACAUGCUCACACCACUUGGACAAGCACCUGCAGGCAGAACACAGCCAGUGUUUAUCACUUAAGUUUACUCUGAUAUUAGAAAAGACUGAAAGAUAAGAUGGAAGAGGUCAGAGCUACUGAAAACUGGUACACUGGAAAAAAAGAAAACUUUUCUAAGAUUCUCUUGGAAUUUACAGAAAAACAGCAGAUGGAAGAGCUGCAUAGAGAAACAUCAACAUAAUACUAGCUUUCAGGAAAUGCAUGAAUGAUUCUAUAUGUUCUUGUCCAAAAAAUUAUUUUUUUCUCUGUCAAAAAUAAGUCCUUUAACAACACAAAAAUGAAAAUAUACUGGGAAACCAAAAAAGCCUAUCCCUUGUUUAAUCAAUGGAAAAUUAAAGCAUUGAAGUGAAUUAAUGUAUAAAGACUGCAACUUAUUACACACCACACCUUCAAUUAUGUAUUUUUUCUGAAAAAUUGUUGCUGCCACACAUUUUUAGAGAGCCUCUAAUAUUAGCUUCAUGAGCUCCUGCUCUGAUUAGAAUAAGAAGCCAGCUGAUUCCUAGGGCUUGCAUGAAGUCCUGAUGGGACUGGAGCCUUUAUUACAAACUGGCAGCUAAAUAUGUAUCAAAGAACUUUGAAACUGUAGCACAAAGAAAAACUAUCAGUAAAUUUUUUACUUUUUUUUUAGAGGAUAUUACUUGCAAGUGCUAUUGUGAUAAAUGUCUUUCCAUUCCUGACACAAUAAGCAGUGAUUUAUCUAGAUUUAAUACAGUUCUCCUCAUGUACUUGUCUUUGAGUUUUAUACUCAGCUACUGCAGGUUAAACUCCCUGUUCCAUCCCAACUGCACAUAGAAUAUGUUGAUGCCUCCAGGCCAUGUCUGGAUUUCCACAAUCUGGGGAUAACUGGCAAUUAAUGAAAUGUUUUUUGCAAUUGAGAGCAUCACAAAGGGUUCUUCUGCAAUCAUUUGGCUAC